GAUGAAGAACGUAGCAAAAUGCGAUAAGUAAUGUGAAUUGCAGAAUUCAGUGAAUCAUCGAAUCUUUGAACGCACAUUGCGCCCGCUGGUAUUCCGGCGGGCAUGCCUGUUCGAGCGUCAUUUCAACCCUCAAGCCCCCCGGGUUUGGUGUUGGGGAUCGGCUCUGCCUCACGGCGGUGCCGCCCCCGAAAUACAUUGGCGGUCUCGCUGCAGCCUCCAUUGCGUAGUAGCUAACACCUCGCAACUGGAACGCGGCGCGGCCAUGCCGUAAAACCCCCCACUUCUGAAAGUUUGACCUCGGAUCAGGUAGGAAUACCCGCUGAACUUAAGCAUAUCAAUAAGCGGAGGA
rnacentral:misc_RNA from 1 species